UAGCGUAUAUUAAAGUUGUUGCGGUUAAAAAGCUCGUAGUUGGAUUUCUGUGGUAGGCAGCCGGUCCGCACUAUGUGCGAGUAUCUGGUUCGGCUACUGCAUCCUCCUGAAGAACGUUGGUGCGCUUCACUGCGUGGCACGGUAUUCAGGACUUUUACUUUGAGGAAAUUAGAGUGUUCACGGCAGGCGCUUGCCCUGAAUAUAUUAGCAUGGAAUAAUGAUAUAGGAUCCAGGUCCUAUUUUGUUGGUUUCUAGGACCAGGAUAAUGGUUAAUAGGGAUAAUUGGGGGCACUCGUAUCAUGACGUC
rnacentral:rRNA from 1 species